UACAUGAAGAGCAAGCGCCGCUGGAACCACCGACUACGCCAUCCAGCGAAUCCCAGGACGACUGACAAAACGGAGAGUCUCGUUCGGAGAACUUAAAAACAUCGAACGCCUUGCCAAGAGGUAAACUUGGUAGUUAUCCUUUUCCUUUCAAUUAUUUAAAAUAGUUUGCUUAGUUAAUCAGGUUCAUGCUAUCUUGAAAAGAAAAGAAAAAUGUUAAAAAUAGUAUGCCCCAUGUGAGUAUGCUCAUGGCAUAAAACCCAUAAGUACAUUCACUGUGGUGGCGUAAAAAUGAAAUAAAUAUAUUCCUGUCCUAUAAAAAUAAAAUUAUAAAAAUAAAUUUAUGAUCCUACUAAAGAGAGUAACAUUUAUUGAGGCGGCUCAACAUGAUAAAGGCUAGAUAUUUAUGCUAACACUUAACUAGUUCCACAAAGCUUUGUUGUCUAUUUGAGCUCCACAUAAUUCAAGGAUCAAAGAAGACUAGCAGACGAAGGACAUCCUAAUCGCUGUCAGGAUGCUGCCGACAUUCAAAUACACAUCCGCCACCUGCUAGCUACAUCAGAAGAAAUUACGUCAAAAUCCAGUUUGGGGGAGAGCACCCCCAUUUAUCUAGCUAAGUGUUUCUACUGACGUUUAUACUUUACUCAAAUAAUAAAAAGAUGCAUAAUCAUAAAAACCGAAAUAAAGAUUUUGUGCUUAUAUAUAUAUAUAUAUAUCUUUGCUUAGUUUGCUAACUAAAUAAAUAAAGUUUGCUAUGAACCCUCAUGAUAAGCUCUCACAUGGAAAUCAUGAAUAGUUGCUCUGCCAUGACUAUUUCUCAAAAUUCAAAUCUCUCUCAAGUUUAGGCAUGACUGUUAUUAAUUAAGAUUUGCUCUAAACCUAAACUUGUAGGAAGAGUACUUGAUCUAAAGUCUAAGUCAUUAACGGAUAUGAUAUGGGAAGGUUGAGCUGUUGUUUAUCUGUUCCUAGAGAUGCUAGAAUUCUAGAGAAUUUUAUCUUUAAAAAUCUUUAAAAUGUUGCAUGAUGAGUUCCUGUAUGAUGAGAGUUUAAAAUCCUACCACAGCCAUAUAUACAUGCUUAUUAGAUAAUGAACCACACAUUUACUUUUUACUGCUUAUGAAGCAUUGAGUGUGGUCAAGCUGUGUAGACCCUUAGGAGCUUGUCAUGUGGUUAAAAUCAAGAUUCACCUGCACGUUCACUCAUACAUGUUGCUUCUACUCCGGAAGUACGCAUCCACAUAUAUCCACCCAUUUCCAUCUCCAGAACCACCCAAAAAUAUUCUACUCCUAAUUCGGGAGAGAAUAGCCAAAAACAUUUCUGUUUUCCCCUGUGAAAUAAAUGCUUAAGUUAUCUUGGUUACUACCACUUGGUACAUUAUUUCAAGAGAUGAGUGCUCUAAAAAAAGAGAGAGAAAAAGAUACGAGGAAAUAAAAAGGGGCAAGUGCCCGGAACCUCAAAAGAAAAUAAAAAGCGAGACGAGAGGUAAAAAAGGACAAGUGUCCGAUAGUAGAAUUAGGGGUACAAGAUACCCACCUGAGAGAAAAGAAAAAGAAAAUAUAGAGCAUCUCAUUCUCCACAAAAAGUUUCAAAAGAGCAAGAAAGGUAUGUAUCCCCUCAAAAGAGCACAAGUAGAAUUAGAAUUUCACCAUUGUUAUCACCAUCAUCACCAUACACCAUUCAUUCGCCACACAUGCACAUCUUGAUUUGACUUAUUGACUUGUUCUUCUGGAUCCAUGGUUUGACUAUGCAAUAAAUGUCUUGUAAGUAUGUAUUAGCUGUCUCCCACCUAUGAGCUCUAGAUAUCAAAACCUUAUUAGAGUAGGGUGAGAGAGAAGGCAAUGCCACUAUGCCUCAUACCAAAAAUACCACAUACUUUGAGAGAAGGCAUACACCAUUACUGCCUUGGUAAGGAUCCAGAAAUACCACAAAAGAGAGACUAGAGAGAAUCAUACAAGGAAUCUCUGAGUUUUAUUUGAAAAUCUGCAAAAACUCCAGAGCUAUAGUUAUUUGAAGAACAAGAGACAUGGCGCUUGACUAGACCGUUCUAUCUUUUAACUGCUCAAGACACAAGUGACGGUUGCAAGCCCCAUGGUGGAAGGUAAUAUGAGUAAGUUUAAAUCUUAACAAUUUACCCUAACCCAGAGAUGAGAUCUUGUUUGAACGCAUGUGUAUCAUUAAGGUAUGAAACCACUGUAGAAACUCUUGAGUCCAUCUUUGCUCAGGGACGAGCAAAGGUUAAGCCUGGGGGAGCUUGUUGACGGUCCUUAAUGCUCACAUUUAACCGUCAUCUAAUCAUGGAAAAGAAUCCAAAUGCAACCAACACCCAGACUUAGGGUUUUAUCUGACAGAAUUCCACGAGUUUUGGUGUUUGUCUAUUUCUGCAGGGGGUUAUCAGGAAAUAUGGAGGAAAGGCCCACACGUCGGGUUUACAUAGAGAUAUUAACGUGCUGUGCAAUUUUCUACCAUCUAGAAGACUCCAGAAGCCACGGGAACGAACGGGAAGGCAAUCGGGCUUGGAGGCAGGGCGCCCGCCCUACUCUCCUGGGCGCCCGCCCACCUACAGUGCCCAAACAGAGUCCUUUACGAAGAUCAUGUUCCACCGACCUAAGGGAUCAAGGAAAACCAUGUGAUUAAUGUCGGUUUGAUCCGACAGCCCAAAUUCAUCUGAAAAGACUAUAUAAGCAAGGCCCCCUGGCCCCUGGAGAUCAUACCUCUUCUACAGAAUCAAAGUUAGGGUUUCAAUUCUUCAUCCAAGUAGAGAGGAUCCCUCUAGUUCAUCUAGUUCUACCUCUAGUUCAUCUAGUUCUAGUUCUAGUUCAUCUAGUUCUAGUUCUAGUUCUUCUAGUUAUAGUUCUAGUUAGUUCUAGUUAUAAUCUAGAAAAUAGGGAGAGAGAAGAGGAGAGCGGAGGAGGAGGAGCCGCAUCUGUCGGAUCUUCCUCAACAUUGUACUUUUGCAACAACUGGUUCGUUCUUCAUCGUUCUCCAGGUUCUUCAACUCAUAAUUCCUGAGUUCUUUAAUUACUUUUAUUUACAUUCAAGUUAUUUAUUGGAUUCUCGCUUGCAUCAAGUGCUCUAAUCUUUGCAACAUUAGAGUAGUAAUUAAUAGAUUAGACGUGGUGUUUAGUCUUGCAAUUACCUAGAAUUGCACCCAAUCCUGUGGAUUGUUGUGGUAGCCCUAGGGUAGUGACAGCCCUAACGGUCGACGUAUUCCACCUCGUUCGGAUCGGUGUUUGUAGGACCGUAGUCAGAGCUUCCUAGCCCCCUUCUCAUCUCUUUCUAUGGUUAGUGUUCUGAUGUCCCGAAAUAAAUAAUCUUUGAAGUAAUUCUUGAUUCUUAGAUCAACUAGAAAACUCUCAGGAAACUUCCUCUUUUCCCACCAAAAAUAAUUAUAUAGUUAUCCUUGGGCGAUCUUGAAUCUUAAUUAGUACACUCACGUUCCCUGUGGAAAAUCGAUACUCUCGAAUACUCCCGGGUGAAGGCUACAUCCGUAUCCGUGCGCUUGCGGAUUUUUCUGUUUGCGUUUAAAAUACCCAACAGAGACGAGAGGUAAAAAUGGACAAGUGUCCGACAGUAGAAUUAGGGGUACAAAAUACCCACCUGAGAGGAAAGAAAAAGAAAAUAUAGAGCAUCUCAUUCUUCCCUAAAGUUUCAAAGAGAAAGGAUGGUAUGUAUCCCCUCAAAAGAGCAAAAGUAGAAUUAGACUUUCACCAUUGUUAUCACCAUCAUCACCAUACACCAUUCAUUCGCCACACAUGCACAUCUUGAUUUGACUUAUUGGCUUGUUUCUUUGGAUCCAUGGUUUGACUAUGCAAUAAAUGUCUUUUAAGUAUGUAUACUUUAUCUCCCACCUAUGAGCUCCAGAUAUCAAAAGCCUUAUUAGAGUAGAGUGAGAGAGAAGGCAAUGUCACUAUGCCUUAUACCACAAAUAC
rnacentral:lncRNA from 1 species